GACGGAGGGUGCAAGCGUUGUUCGGAAUUACUGGGCGUAAAGGGCGCGUAGGCGGUCUGUUAAGUUCGGUGUGAAAGCCCCCGGCUCACCUGGGGAACUGCGCCGGAAACCGACAGACUCGAGUACCGGAGAGGAGGGUGGAAUUCCUGGUGUAGCGGUGAAAUGCGUAGAUAUCAGGAGGAACCCCGGUGGCGAAGGCGGCCCUCUGGACGGAUACUGACGCUGAGGCGCGAAAGCGUGGGGAUCAAACAGG
rnacentral:rRNA from 1 species